rnacentral:rRNA from 1 species
UACGUAGGGGGCAAGCGUUAUCCGGAUUUAUUGGGCGUAAAGCGAGCGCAGGUGGUUUAUUAAGUCUGGUGUAAAAGGCAGUGGCUCAACCAUUGUAUGCAUUGGAAACUGGUAGACUUGAGUGCAGGAGAGGAGAGUGGAAUUCCAUGUGUAGCGGUGAAAUGCGUAGAUAUAUGGAGGAACACCGGUGGCGAAAGCGGCUCUCUGGUCUGUAACUGACGCUGAGGUUCGAAAGCGUGGGUAGCAAACAGG